rnacentral:pre_miRNA from 1 species
UGCACAGCAUUAACGCGUUAGCGUAGUUAGCUUGUUAACGCAUUAGCGCUGUCCAGC